UACGUAGGGAGCAAGCGUUGUCCGGAAUCAUUGGGCGUAAAGCGCGCGUAGGUGGCCUCAUAAGUCCGCUGUGAAAGUCAAAGGCUCAACCUUUGAAAGCCGGUGGAUACUGUGAGGCUAGAGUACGGAAGAGGCGAGUGGAAUUCCUGGUGUAGCGGUGGAAUGCGCAGAUAUCAGGAGGAACACCGAUGGCGAAGGCAGGUCUCUGGGCAUUAACUGACGCUGAGGAGCGAAAGCAUGGGGAGCGAACAGG
rnacentral:rRNA from 1 species